rnacentral:rRNA from 1 species
AUUGAACGCUGGCGGCAGGCCUAACACAUGCAAGUCGAGCGGAUGAAGGGAGCUUGCUCCUGGAUUCAGCGGCGGACGGGUGAGUAAUUCCUAGGAAUCUGCCUGGUAGUGGGGGAUAACGUCCGGAAACGGGCGCUAAUACCGCAUACGUCCUGAGUGAGAAAGUGGGGGAUCUUCGGACCUCACGCUAUCAGAUGAGCCUAGGUCGGAUUAGCUAGUUGGUGAGGUAAAGGCCUACCAAGGCGACGAUCCGUAACUGGUCUGAGAGGAUGAUCAGUCACACUGGAACUGAGACACGGUCCAGACUCCUACGGGAGGCAGCAGUGGGGAAUAUUCGACAAUGGGCGAAAGCCUGACCCAGCCACGCCGCGUGUGUGAAGAAGGUCUUCGGAUUGUAAAGCACUUUAAGUUGGGAGGAAGGGCAGUAAGUUAAUCCCUUGCUGUCUUGACGUUACCAACAGAAUAAGCAACGGCUAACUUCGUG